rnacentral:rRNA from 1 species
GAUGAACGCUGGCGGCGUGCCUAAUACAUGCAAGUCGAGCGAACAGACGAGGAGCUUGCUCCUCUGACGUUAGCGGCGGACGGGUGAGUAACACGUGGAUAACCUACCUAUAAGACUGGGAUAACUUCGGGAAACCGGAGCUAAUACCGGAUAAUAUAUUGAACCGCAUGGUUCAAUAGUGAAAGACGGUUUUGCUGUCACUUAUAGAUGGAUCCGCGCCGCAUUAGCUAGUUGGUAAGGUAACGGCUUACCAAGGCAACGAUGCGUAGCCGACCUGAGAGGGUGAUCCGGCCCACUGGAACUGAGACCCGGUCCAGACUCCCACGGGAGGGCGCAGUAGGGAAUCUUCCGCCAUGGGCGAAAGCCUGACGGAGCAACGCCGCGUGAGUGAUGAAGGUCUUCGGAUCGUAAAAAUCUGUUAUUAGGGAAGAACAAAUGUGUAAGUAACUAUGCACGUCUUGACGGUACCUUAUCAGAAAGCCACGGCUAACUACGUG